rnacentral:rRNA from 1 species
CAGCAGCCGCGGGAACACGUAGGGUGCAAGCGUUAAUCGGAAUUACUGGGCGUAAAGCGUGCGCAGGCGGUUUUGUAAGACAGAGGUGAAAUCCCCGGGCUCAACCUGGGAACUGCAUUUGUGACUGGCAAGCUAGAGUCUGGCAGAGGGGGGUGGAAUUCCGCGUGUAGCAGUGAAAUGCGUAGAUAUGCGGAGGAACACCGAUGGCGAAGGCAGCCCCCUGGGCCAACACUGACGCUCAUGCACGAAAGCGUGGGGAGCAAACAGGAUUAGAUACCCCCGUAGUCCCUGUCUCUUAUAC